GCCCGGCGCCCCCGGAGGCGGCCGCUCCGCGCCGCCGUACCUGCGCUGGAAGUCGGUCCGGAAAGGCUCCAGUUCCUUCUAAGUCCUGAGCUUGGCAGUCUUCCUGAUGCAGACAGAGAUGGGACUUGCUUUCUAAGUCAUCAGCCCCUGAGGCCUACACAAGAAGAAAAGUGAUGUUUAGGCUGGGGGAUUCUAAUUCCUCAGCUUUGGCACUCCUGCAGCUGUCUCCUCAGCACCUCCUGUGUUGCCAUCUGAUUCAACACGUGCACAAGGAGCACUUGCAAAGGGAGCUGAGUCAUUUUCUAAAUCUGGAACAUCGUCCUCAGAACACAAAAGCUUCCUCUGCAGGACUUAAGGGCAAGUAUUAACUGUGUCAUUCUGCAUAGGAUGUUUUAGCUUCUCUUACUUUAAAUUACUAGUGUGUCUUACUGAAAAGCGCAUAAUUUAGCUGUAUCCACCAAAAUCUUCUUUGUGACAUUUGUGUUGCAAAGUGCCAAAUGUUCUUACUCCUGUGUUCUAUUUCCUUUUCUUGUAAUUAAUUGUCAUUUCAGAAUAAACUCACAUCUUCACUGAUGGUUUUUAGUACAUACAUGUAAUUUCUGUGAACUGUGACUACUUUGCUGUCGUUCUUGAGUCUCAAGGAACAUAACCUCCUGAACAAUCAAACUCUUAUUCCAGUCAGAACACUGAAAGAUGCUCACUGUGAAUAUCAAUCUGACUCAAGUCAUGUGAUAUACCUAACAUUUAAAAGGGUGAUGGAUGAGGACAUGUAUUAGACACCCAAAAAGUGAGGAAAAAGCAAGAUCAACUGUUUAUGUCUUAUUAUUUUCUUAGCACUAUAAAAUAUCAUACACAUUCUUUGAAUUUUUAAAAUGAAAGACUUGUGUCCAUCUUUUCUCUGUUCUUGCCAGAAAUGUGUGCUCUGGUAUGUUGCAACCACUCUAGCACUACUACAAGUGAUUAAUACUAGGAUUUUUUUCAUGUUUAUGUCCAAGUUGCUGGGUUACUUGCAGCUCUGAAUAAGAUUUACAUGAAGACUUGUGAAGAGCUCUGUAUAUGAGUUAUAUUACAUUGCUCAAAAUAAAGCUUUUCAGCUGACUUCUUCAGUAUAAUUCUUCUUGUGUUUCAGGAAUUUUCAUGCUAGUUCUGUUUUUGUAAAUAUUGCCUUUAUUAAAUUUGUAAUAUCCCAAAAUAUUACUUUUUGCUUUAGGUUUAUUUUCUUGAUUU